GAUGUUAAAGGGUUUUAUUUGAACUAUCUCUUAAUGUAAUGCAACUGUAUUAAACACGUCUCCACCUUGAUUAAUAUUUUCUGUGCAGAAAAAAAAAUAUGAUUCCAACCACUUGUGCUGUUUUCUAAUGUUCCAACGAUCUUUUUUUCUUCCAGGGUUCCACAAUUGAUUUAUCCAUUUUGUUGCCGUCUCACUUCCAGCCUUUUUUAGCUCUGCAACUGUCUCUUGCUGCGAUUUGCUACGCCUAGGUUCAUCUUUUGUUUAUGCCUCCAACUCUCCGUGUUCCCCACCACUCUCCCUCUCUCUUCAGUGUUGGCAUCUUCAACACAGGGAAUCUGCCACCAUCCAUUCCAAGCAGCAGGUAAUGGAUUGAGCUCAGGACCUGAUCUGGCUAUGGAUGAGCUAGCCUGAAGGUGUGUGAGUGGGUGUUCAAAUAGAUUUGGAGAAGCUCGCCUAGAAUAUCACACUGUUUUUUUUUUUUUUUUCUUCUUCAGGUUGUUAGGUUUGUUGUCAGCGCCAAGCCUCUACCCAACCUCAAUUCUUCCUUCAAAGACAAAAACAUCACAGCGGGACAGCUUCAACACGUGUCCCAGCAGCUCCAGCUCACACAGCACCGGGGUUUGGAUUCCAUCGUUUUGCGAUUUAAAACACACGUUUCCUAAAAGCAAAUAUUAGUAACGGGAUGUGGAAUCAAACCACUGCAGCCGGAAGGAAUCAAGACCAAAAUAAACUAGAGAAAAACUUUUAUUAUAAACUUAUUACAAAGAUGUGCCUCUAUGGUGAUAUUUUAAUUGUUUGAUAAUUAGGAGUGUAAUGAUUAAUCGAUCCAACUAGAUCGAUCUGUCUGAGGGAAAUUGUUAAUCACAUUGACAGGUAGCGUUAUAAAAUUGUUUCAAAAUGGAAUAAAUCGAUUGUAAUCAAUAUUGGAAAAUACUAUUUAUAUUAAGGCAACAUAGGUUUUUUUUUACUAUAUCAUGAAAACAACCAUCACAAUGGACAACAUGCAUGUUUAGGCAGCAAAAAAUCAUAAAUCCAUCCUUACAUUCAAAUGUGUAGAAACACUUUGAAUUUUAUGAGGUCAAAUCAGGAUCAGUCUAAAGUGAACGAAAAAACAGAUUGAUUUUUUUUUUUUAUUAUUAUUUGAAAACAAGAUAUUGUAAAAUAGAAAAAAAAAGAAAAUUUGAAAAAAAUAAAUGUUUAAAAAAUUCGGAAAAAAAAACUCUGAAAACUUUAAAUAAAUCUUGAAAUUUUCACUUUUCUUUCUUUUUUAGAAUAAAAAAAAAAAUCAGUUACAAUGUCUAUUUUUCAAGUUUUUCAUCUGUUUUUUUCGUUCACUUUAAGCUGAUCCUAAUUUCACCCCAUAGAGAGUGGUAGAAUGUUUUAUUAAUGUUCAGUUUGUAUGUUAUGUGGAAAAAAAACAGUGGCCUGAACUUUAUGAAACUAAAAUGUGAAUGGUUCUCACAUU
rnacentral:lncRNA from 1 species